rnacentral:lncRNA from 1 species
CUUCGGACUUCCUACAAUACCUUGUCUGUACUUGUAAAGAAAAACUCAAAAUAACGUGUUUGCUUUGAGCAGAACCUUUCAUGUGCAGACCUGUGGCCAUGAGUGAAAUGUGUAGAAAUAUUAAAACAUGUCAAAAUGUUAGAAAUUAUUAUAAAUUAAGGAAUGUAUCUCCCUCAUGCAAAGCUCUGAUUCAUUUCACGGAUUUGGCUAUACUUUUUGGAACUUUUGGAUUAUAGCUCUUCAAAUUAUUAUAAGCUUUGGAUUUCACAUAUUUUUGCCACGAGCAUCACUGAAGAGACAUGUAUUGUCGAAAUGCGCAUCUGGUGCAGAAAAAAAUGGUACCGUUAUUGUUAUUGUGACAGUUGAUGAAAAUGAACAUGAUGGAGAUAAGGGUUGAUUUGGUAUAAAGCUUGUUGCACUGGUACACACGAAUCCAGUCCCGAGGUUAGGGGAUUGUUGGCGUGCCCUUAAAAAAGUUAAACCCCGCCACUAUCUGUAUAUAUGUGUCAGUUUUAAGUUACGAGACGGUAAUGCAGUGUUUGUCGUUUGUUUCUAUAUACUAUAUUAGUUUCUUUAUUAUUUAUUUUGUACAUUAAUCAGGCCGUUAGAUUUUUUGUUUGUUUUACAUUAUUCGUUUCGGGAAUUGAAGACUUUGCAGUAUGACUUUUACUCAUUGUUGAAACCCGUACGGGACCUAUAAUUGUUUUAUGUCUCAUUUGGUCUCAUUUGGAGAGUUGUCUCAUUUGCAAUCAUAUCACAUCUUCUUUUUUU